ensembl:lncRNA
CAAAGUUUGGUUAAAAAUAGCCUGAAACCUUAAAACUGACUGGUGAAUUUAUGAAUGAAUAUAUAUUCAUAACAUUGUUUUUGCCUAUACAUGCCUUUUCAUAUCUAUUUAUUGUUUAGAAUAACUUAGUCCUGGUGUCAUCUGCAAAGGACAUAUAAUCAAAUAUAAAUUAUAUAUAUAUAUAUGUUUUUCUCCAUUUGUUUCUUAUGCUCCAACCAAUGUAAUGACAAAAACAAUAAUAAAAAAAAAACUUUUAUGGUUCUCAGUAGGAUAUUAGGCUUCCUCGAGGACAAUAAUGUAAAAUAAAAUAACCUGCACCGCCCCCUUAUGGCUGCUCUGGCUGAACUACAGUUUCCGGUUGAUGGCAGUCAGGUCUCGCGAGUCUCUGGCGGCUCAACAGUGAUCGCGCGCGAACAGCACAGCUGUACUGAGGUGAAUAUCUUGGUUCUCAGUGAGGUUACUACCAAAUCUGUCUCUAUGAAACUGCGGCGCAAGACAGUCCUGAGAAGCAGAAGGCUUCAACAGCAAGAGCAUGUGAAGGACUCUGUGGUGCUGAGUGACACUGACUCUAGUGUGGAGGAUAUAAAAGACAAUGUGUCUGUUAUUCGUGAUAUGAAGAGGCCAGUAAGGAAGAGUAGAGCUGGUGCAUCAUGUCGAGCGAGAAAAGAAUAUGAGAGACAGCUUUCUGAUGUGGAACCACAGCAUGGAGCGGUUCAGAAGAUCUCCCUGGCUCCAGAUGCUAUCGCUGAGGACACUCUAGGGAAACUCAGGCUGAGGGCUAACACCUCUGAGACCAAGACUGAGGUUGAGUCUCGAGGAGAGCUUGAGUCUGUUUUGGAAGAAUCCAGUACCGAUCUCAUGGUGGAAUCGGGUCCCAGCUCGCCCUCUUGUCAUGUUUAUACUGUAAGAUGCAGAGAAUGCCAGAGACUUUUCGCCAAGAUGAGAAAACAGCCGACCCCAAAACAGAAAAGCAAAGAUACAAAUCCAGCAUCUUUAUCUUGUGAUGUGUGGGUUCUGCUUAAGAAGUGGCACCCUCAGAGACGCCACCAUCGGGAGAAGGGAUUAUUGUGGACAAGCCUGAGUCGGAUCAGGAAGCUGUUAGCAGGAGGCUCUGAUUCUUCAGUCAUCAACACAGCUCAAGCAAACUGCUCCAGACCUCAUGUGUUUCAGCAGAGAAAUUUGCGUCGCUGCAAGGAUCUGCUCUCCAUUCAGACCAACCUGUCCAUUAACAAAGCCAAACCACGGCAUCGUAAGAGGUCACGAUCUGUGGUCUGGCCGCCCAUCGCUGGCUGGCAGUCUUCUGUGAAAAGGAAGCCUUCCUUGAACAGCACAUUAUCUCAGCAGCUUUAUCCACUCGACCUUAGUGUGAAGCAGAAGGACAAACUUCUUGUAGAUGACAAGAUUUCAAGAUUAAAUGCAGAUUUGAAGCAGAACUCAGAGGUCUCUAGCAAACAGAGGACGACUUAUGUCCGGGGUAAAUCGAACAAGCAGGAAGUGUCUGAUGGCAUAGAUGGAACGCGGCGGGUGCUGAAGUUUGAUGACACCACUAAAACUGUUGCUGUGGAAACAGCGGAACAGAGGAAAAGCCCUCGGCAGAAGCACAAACGUGGAGAGAUUCGUCAAGCUCAGAACGGUUUCCAGAAUGAGCAGCAGGAAGAGAUUUCUGAGGAUUUGGAUGGGUUCAGGACACCCACAGAUCUGUUCAGCGUGAAGCCCAAGAUUAAACGAGGGAACCAGAAGAAAGUGUCUGCGUCUGGUGUUACAAAACCUGCCGUACAGAAGCCCAACUUCAUGUCAAUGUUAUCCACACUGGUGAAGAAUCAGAACCAGAUUAUUAAGGAAUCCUGCAAAUGAGUCUCUAUUGAAGUUUUGUAAUUAGGGCUUUUAGUCAUUUUGUUUAAUUGAAGAGACACGUCACAACUGUAAAGGUUUGCUAAUUCUGUUAAUAGAUAUCAUCAAAAGUCUGCUGAUGUUUAUUUAUUGUUCCAGUUGUUUGUGUUCUAACAUUAGCAUUUGCAUGAGUAAAUAAGUCUUGUUUUAGUAUGCUGUUGACUUCACAGUGGCUUGAACCGCAGUUACUGUAAUAACCACAGAGCGGAGCUGUUUCCAAAUAAACUUGCAUAUCUUCACUCCUAUAUUUUUAAAUAUUACAAUAUAUGACUUAAAAAAUAUAUUUUCUCACACUUUUAUCAAACUGAUUUAAGGUGAUGGUAAGCGAAACGUGUGUGGAUUUUUAUUUUUUGUGGGUUAAAUUUUCAAUAGCUUUUUGCUACCAAGCCACCCUGAGAAACAUUCACUGGAUCUUAGACUAUCCCAAUUAACUAUCCCAAUAUUUAUAACAAAUAAAUAAUAAUAAAAAAAAAAUCUUAAUAUAAUACUAUGGAAAUGUUAUAUUUACAUAAAAUUUAUUUUAUUUUUGCAGGGUCUCAUGAUGAUAAAAGAGCCAAAAUGCUUCAGAAUAACUUUUUUAACUCGAAAAUAAAAACUGCCCACAAGGCAAGUCUUCUGCUGUUUUAACACUCAGUGGUUUUAAAUUGAUUUACAUACAUAAAAAGCUUUAAAGUGUGAUGUGUGCUGUUAUUGGUGCUGAUGUUGAGGGGUUGGGCUCAGUGACUCCACUGUCACAACCUAAAAGCGCACUGAUCCAUCACACAACAUCACUUUAGGAAGAGCGAGCGGGCAAGGAUGCAGCAAAACCGGACUUUUACCCAGGGGACUGCUUAGAGAGCAGUUUUAUUAUUGUUAUUAUUAUAAUUUUCUUUUAGAUGGACAAUCACAUCCACACAUAAUCGUGUUAAGGUUAUGUGAGUGUUGCAGAGGAAAGCCAUGCAACCAAAUGAGCAGAGCUAAGAGGAUUUAAUGCAGCUGGACAUGAACCACGCUGAGUAAAGAAGAAGAUUAUAUUCUUUUAAUCAAAUGCAAAGAAGUUUUUAUUGCUGGUCACUUUGAGUUUGGACUGUCGAGGAGCGAUGUUUGUCUUCAUCUCUUUGUGCACUCCGAUAACUACACUAUAAGUAUGCUCACUGCACAGAGAUGUAUGGGUUCAACUCUACAGUAAAGGGCAUGAUAGGUUUUGUGCUUUUAGGAAUACUGACACAAGACCUUGCCACGGGUGGACCUGAUCUUUACUAAACCAGAUCUGGACUCAAAAAACACAUGAAGAUGUGCCAGUGUUAUUCUGCCCUGCUUAUGAUCUGCUUCCACAUGGUGACAUGUGGAGCAGAGCUCAGAGCAGCUGUGUCUCCUCUGGGUUUGGGAGAGAGUGAUAAGGAGGAAAGCGUCUCUCCUUACGGCUCUCAUUCAGGCAUUCUCAAAUCCCUGCGGCUUUUCUCCCACAUGUCCCAAUCUAACAGCCAGAGCCGUGAAACUGCUCAGGACCUUGGGGCACUGGAUCUGUGGGCUUGGUUAUCCAACCACACUGAUACCGAAGGAACCCUCUCGAGGGCCAAACGUCGUCCCUAUGUGAAAACUGGCAAGUUUAAGAAGAUGUUUGGCUGGGGCGACUUCCAUUCGAACAUCAAAACGGUCAAGCUAAACCUUCUCAUUACUGGGAAAAUUGUUGACCAUGGCAACGGAACCUUUAGUGUCUAUUUCCGCCACAAUUCCACCGGCUUGGGCAACGUGUCCGUCAGCCUGGUCCCACCCUCCAAGGCUGUCGAUUUUGAGAUCACUCAACAGGAAACCAUAGAUGUACCUAAAGACAAUAAGGCCUUCAAUUGUCGAGUGGAAUAUGAGAAGACGGACCGCAGCAAGAGGACGUCCGUUUGCAGUGACUUCCCGAACAGGGUAUGUUUCCAGGAACAGACCCAAAGCCAUGUGUCUUGGCUUUGCUCCAAGCCCUUCAAGGUCAUCUGCAUCUACAUUGACUUCUUCAGUGCAGACUACAAGCUCGUACAGAAGGUCUGCCCAGACUACAACUACCACAGUGAGACUCCCUAUACCUCUGUGGGAUAGCACAGCCUAGACUGGAUGUGUUGAGGUAACUGAGGUGUCGUCACAUUGUUACAGUCUCUCUAGCCUGUAGUUUCCUUGUUCUGUUCCACAAAGAACCACAUAAAUGGAAGCAAGGCCAGACUGAGGAACCACUGUUUUGAUUCUAUCUUACUUGUCCUUCUAGGGCUGUCGAGGACAGGAAUAGUUCACCCAAAAAAGACAUGUUAUUUCUGUUAUCAUUUUCCACAGAAGAAAGUCAGUCAACAUGAGGGAGAAUAAAUGACAGAAUUUGAAUUUUUGGAUGAACCCAUGCUUAACCCAGGCUGAUUUACGAUUUACAGUAUGCAGUUCACACUUAGCUUGGACAUGAUCAACACAUCUAUGGUUUCUAACAGUGACCCCCUGACCCUUUCUCAGUGAAUCUUGUGAUGUCAUCAGUGUGAUGUUUUAAAAUAUCCAAAUCAAAUGUAAGCUGUGAUUCAAGAACAAAAAAAAAAAAAAAAACUUGUAUUGCAGCCAUUUGUGACGCCCUCCUUUUCAUGCCAACAUAUUUUUGUGUUCACUGAAACAUUGCUAUAACUAAGAUUGAUGUUGAAGCCAUAAUGUGCUCCUCCAUUCUUUUGUCUCUGUUAUUAAAGAAAAGACUAGAUUUUAGUUUCCAGAAUGCUCCCUUGUGUAUUUUUUUUUUUUUCUUUGACAGAUUUUUGGUGUACAACUUUAGAAAUCCUAAAGCACAGAUGCUGCAAACAAAGAACAAUUUUGAAGUUAGACAAAGCUUAGGUCAAGCCUGUACCACAUUUGUUACCAAAUCUUCUUAAAAGCCUCAAUAUCCCUCUGACUACCGGAGGACAGACAUUUCAGCAAUUUAACCUCUGUAAAUUCAGCCAUAUGAAAAC